UCCGGUUUGUCACCGGCAGUCUCCUUAGAGUGCCCACCAUUACGUGCUGGUAACUACGGACAAGGGUUGCGCUCGUUGCGGGACUUAACCCAACAUCUCACGACACGAGCUGACGACAGCCAUGCACCACCUGUGCUGGACCCAAAAGGACACCGUGUCUCCACGGCUUUUCCCAGCAUGUCAAACCCAGGUAAGGUUCUUCGCGUCGCCUCGAAUUAAGCAACAUACUCCACCGCUUGUGCGGGUCCCCGUCAAUUCCUUUGAGUUUUAGCCUUGCGGCCGUACUCCCCAGGCGGGGCGCUUAAUGCGUUAGCUGCGGCACAGAGACCGUGGAAUGGCCCCCACACCUAGCGCCCACCGUUUACGGCGUGGACUAC
rnacentral:misc_RNA from 1 species